rnacentral:tRNA from 1 species
GGGAAUGUGGUUUAGUGGUAGAACGAUUGCCUAGCAUGCAUGAAACUCAGGGUUCGAUUCCUCAGUGCCA